GAUCAUGGCUCAGGACGAACGCUGGCGGCGUGCCUAACACAUGCAAGUCGAACGGAGUUACUUAGGACGGAGGAUUCGUCCAAAGACCUUUGUAACUUAGUGGCGAACGGGUGAGUAAUGCGUGAGCAACCUGCCCUUCAGAGGGGGACAACAGUUGGAAACGACUGCUAAUACCGCAUAAUGUAUUCGGAAGGCAUCUUCUGAAUACCAAAGGAGAAAUCCGCUGAGGGAUGGGCUCACGU
rnacentral:rRNA from 1 species